rnacentral:rRNA from 1 species
GAGUACGCACUUCGGUGCAAUGUACGAGUGGCGAACGGGUGAGUAACACGUGAGAAACCUGCCUCGGAGACCGGGACAACCAUUGGAAACGAUGGCUAAUACCGGAUGUCCUCAUUUGAUCGCAUGAUCUUUUGAGGAAAUGAUCCGUCGCUCCGGGAGGGUCUCGCGGCCUAUCAGCUUGUUGGUGAGGUAAUGGCUCACCAAGGCAUCGACGGGUAGCUGGUCUGAGAGGACGAUCAGCCACACUGGGACUGAGACACGGCCCAGACUCCUACGGGAGGCAGCAGUAGGGAAUCUUGCACAAUGGGCGAAAGCCUGAUGCAGCGACGCCGCGUGGGGGAUGAAGGCCUUCGGGUUGUAAACCCCUUUCAGUAGGGACGAAAAUGACGGUACCUACAGAAGAAGCUCCGGCCAACUACGUGCCAGCAGCCGCGGUAACACGUAGGGAGCAAGCGUUGUCCGGAUUUAUUGGGCGUAAAGAGCUCGUAGGUGGUUCGGUAAGUCGGAUGUGAAAACUC